ensembl:miRNA MIR410 microRNA mir-410
GGUACUUGAGGAGAGGUUGUCUGUGAUGAGUUCGCUUUAUUAAUGACGAAUAUAACACAGAUGGCCUGUUUUCAGUACC